rnacentral:rRNA from 1 species
UAAGGAAUAUUGCUCAAUGGGAGAAAUCCUGAAGCAGCAACGCCGCGUGGAGGAUGAAGGGUCUAUGACUUGUAAACUCCUGUAAAGAAGGAAAAAAUUCCCAUUUGAUGGGAGAUGAUGGUACUUCUGGAGUAAGCCCCGGCUAACUACGUGCCAGCAGCCGCGGUAAUACGUAGGGGGCAAGCGUUGUCCGGAUUUGCUGGGUGUAAAGGGUGCUCAGGCGGAUUUGUAAGUCAGAGGUGAAAUCUUACAGCUUAACUGUGAAACUGCCUUAGAUACGGCAAGCCUAGAGUAUGGAAGAGAGUGAUGGAAUAUCUGGUGUAGCAGUGAAAUGCGUAGAUAUCAGAUAGAACACCAAUGGCGAAGGCAGUCACUUGGUCCAUUACUGACGCUAAAGCACGAAAGCGUGGGUAGCAAACA